UGGCCAUGAGAGGGUCAGAAAAAACCAGAUCACAGCAGGCUGUGUGUGCAGAUGGUAGAUGCAAGUGUUGCCUGGCACCCCAAAUUCAAUGGUGAGCCUUCAAAGUGCAAUAGCCAUCUCUUUCCUUCAUUGGCCACUAUCAACAUGAGGUCACAAAGGCCAGUCUCUCUCUCUCUCCUUCAGAGAGGCAGCACAAUUUCUACACAGUUUAGGUACUUCUGUCCCUAUAAUUCCCCUUUGGGAGAGCUUUUGGGGCUUUUUGUUGUUUUUUUACAAACGUUAUUUUAAACAUUCUUUUUCAUUUCAUUAUAUAUCAUUUCCCAUCUGAACAAUCAUAGCCUUGGAGUUGGCAUAGUAAAUCUCUUCACUUUGCGGUCAGUGUCCUGGUUGCAGCAAAAUGGAUGCAGGAAUUGCUUCACCACCCAAUUCUCCCCACUGCGACUACCCUAGCAAGGUAGGAUUUCUCUGUAAGUCAUUUUUUAAUUCAUUCUUUAUUUUGCAUGCAAGGGCCUAAUGUGGCAGAGCUCACUUUUCCCCUUCUUAAUUGGCUCUUCAGAAUCAGACCCCCCAGCACUGUAACCCAGGGCUGGGGAAACUUUUCUACAUUCUCUUCUGAGACCAAAUGCCCGUGAAGGGCAAGAUCAGAGACAAAUGUGGGCAGAGCAAUAAAUGUGAAAUUUACCCUAGCGUAGUAGGCUACUUGUUAUGCAUCUCCUCAAACACACCCUCUAUCUCCCAUCCAGACAAGUGAGAAGCAUUGUUAGAGGUCAAUGACACAUUGGAGCUAGGUAUAUUCUGGGAUCAAAUCAGAAGCGGGAUGGCUUUCAUAAUUCCAGGACUGUCCCUGGAAAAUUGGGUUUGCAUUUGGACCCUGCGUUUGAAACUCCCAUCCCUGCUAUAAUUCAUCAUCCUUAAUUUCAGACUGUUUGGCUUACAUGUCGACUGUCCUGGAGCCAUGCAAACAAAUUAUCUGCUCCAUCUUUAGUCAAAGUGGCCAAAUUCAAUUUAGCAAAGAUGAAGGGGUCACUCUCAGUGGACAACAAUUCAUAUUUCUGAGAGUUAGCCAAAGGAAAUAAAUAAAGUUCAACUUUAGCUAUCUGAAAGGCCUCGGAGACAUGCAAAACAUUUGACUAAUCAGAAGCUAGGAAUGCUGUUUAUGGAGGGUUGCAGUGACACAAAGCUACCAAGGUAAUAUGACAGAGUCUCUCUCUUCCUCUGUCCACAGCAAAGGGUGUUGUACUCUAUUCCUCGGGUGAAUUCCCCAUGUCCACCUAGAUUGGGGUGGGGCAGACAUCCAAUUGCCUGGCAUUUUUAUGUGACCUUACUUGAUUCCCGCUUCCUGAAACAAUAUUUUAAUCGAAAUGUAGCAAUGCUACAAAAUUCGCUCUUCUCUGAUUUUUGCAAUGCGCUUCUCUCUCUCUCUCUCUCUCUCUCUCUCCCUCUCUCUCUUAAUAAUCUUUAUUAAUUUAAAUUACACACGUAUGCAAAGAAUUUACAAUCUCAUACUCCGAAAGGAAAAUUAAAGAAAAAACAAUUAAGAAAAAAGAAAAGAAGAAAAUACAGAAAAAAGAAAGAAGAAAAAGCAGAUUUACGCACAUAAAAAACUUAAUCUUCCUAAUUAAUACUUAAAUAAAAAAGACUUCUGACAAAAUGAGUCUUCCCUUCUCAACAAAACAAUGUGUGCAAAAAUGUAUAUAUUGGGGGGAAGUGUGCAAAUAAAUGCAUGUUUGACAGAAAAAUAGCACACACAAAUGCAUUAUAUUGAGCAAGAGUAGGCAACCUAAGGCCCAUGGGCCACAAGCGGCCCACGGGGGCCAUUUAACCGGCCCACGAGGCGCCCCCAAACCGAGCCACCUGCUCGGUGAGUCCCCACGCACUGCGCUAAACUGGCGCAGUGCGGGAACUCGCUUCCGCGGAGCCGGAAAUCAUGUCUGCGCAUGCGCAGAUGCCAAAAAACGUGUCUGCGCAGAUGCAGACGCCAGAAAUUACAUCUGUGCAGUCGCAGAUGCAGGAAAUCGCGGGCGCGCGCACUCAGGCGCACACACAAUCCGCCCCACGGAGCGCUCUCCGCUGCAGUGAACUGGCCCAGGCGAGGUAAACCUUGCCGACCCCUGCUAUUGAGAGAUACUGCUUGCAAAAAUGUGUAUAUCAGAAGAAAUGCAAAUGCAUAAUAAAAUGCUGACAAAUUGUUGUAUUGGCAUUAUUGUUAUUAUUAAAAAAGAAAAGCAAUACAGAAAUGUGGAGAACUGAACUUAAGACUGGAAAAAAUGAGAAAUUGAGAGAAAUUAUUAUUUAUUAUUAUUAUUAUUAAUUGAAUUUAUAUACCGCCCCAUACCCAGAGGUCUCAGGGCAGUUCACAGAACAAAAUCAAAAUAUAAAACCACAAAAUAUAUAAUCAAAAUGAAAACAACAACCCUAUAACCCACCCCCCGCAAAACCCCCACAUUUUAAAAGGGCAUAGGAUGUUUCAUCAAUCCCUACAACCAGGCAGUGGUGCCAAAUCUGUGACGAUUGCUGUGAGGGAGAGAAAAACUGAGGCGUACGUGGGUUCCCACGAGGCAAGACACAGUGAUUACAGCAAGAACCUUUAUUGAAUUAACAGAACUGGACAACAGGGGCAAAGCAACUGCUUAUAUAAAUUUCUGAAGGCCUGGGCCACUCCCACCCCCUACGUGAUCGGCUGUCUAAACUUCCAAGCUGCAAGUCAUUACUCAGAUUUUAAGAGCCAAUGGCAGAGGCCCAAAUCCUGAAAUUGGAUAUCGGAACACAGGAGCUCAGAAUCCUUGGUUCAGACUCAAGCUCAGGCAAACACAGACCACUGAAUACUAACAAAAACCUUGAGACCAGCCAAUUGAUUUGGAGAUGAAGUUCCUUCUUGAAGAACUCAAAUAUGGCGACCAAAAAAUUGCAUAGCAAGGUCAUUAGCAAAACAAUAAACCACAAAAAACAAAUAAACCACAAAAAUGAGGAUGGGAGAGUGGGAGACCAAAAAGCCGACUGCUGUGUCAGGUGAGGAGCUGAGGCCUCCCAUGAUUGACCAAUUAUUGCAGGUGGGUAAACCUGAAUCUCCCCAUGGCCAAAGGGAGGGAACAUCUCCCAUUGGCCAUUGGGAGGGAUCAAAAUGGCCUGACACUGGUAGUGAGUUGUGUGGUGCCACAACUGCCACCCACAACUCUUCACACAAUGAGUGUAACACAAAGCCAGAUUCUCAUGGUCCAUUGUACAAGCAAGCUUCGUUCCAGUUUGUCCCACUGUUUCAGCCUUUCAGGGUUUCAGUCCAUGUUGCGUCUGGAGAAUGAAUGUCGCCCCCGUGCGUUGCUCAAUCUUUAACCGCUGAUGUAUACAUUAAAAUGCUUUUUUAUGUAUGCGACAACAGCCACAUGGAUGUUGAAAGCCCAGAGAUGGAAAGAAGAGUCACUACCAGAAAGGAAUGGCAAACUAAGCUGAUGGACUACGCCAGGUGUAGGCAAACUGAGGCCCGGGGGCUGGAUGCAGCCCAACUGCUUUCUCAAUCCGGCCCACAGACGGUCCAGGAUUCAGUGUGUUUUUACAUGAGGAGAAUGUGUGCUUUUAUUUGAAAUGCAUCUCUGGGUUAUUUGUGGGGCAUAGGAAUUUGUUCACUCCCCCCCCCCCAAAAAAAAUAGCCCGGCCCACCACAUGGUCUGAGGGACGGUGGACCAGCCCACGGCUGGAAAAGGUUGCUAUCCCCUGGACUACACCAAAAUGGCAAAACUGACCGGAAAGCUCAGGAUCCAAGAAGACCAAAACUUUAAGAAAGAAUGGGAAAAAAAUAUGAUUUAUUUAGGAGACCACUGUAAGCAGAUGAAAACAUUAGCAGGAUUCUAAUAACACUUGUAAUGUAACAAACACUAUGGGCAAUAUGGAAAGAUAUAAAAUAUAAAUUAUGAAAUAAUAUGCUAGUUGAAAAUAUGAAAUUAUGAAAUAAUAUGCUAGUUGAAAAUGUUGACCAUAGGACCCGGGGGGGUGGGAAGUCUUGAGAUUCAGAGAAAUCUCUAUAUAUGGAUAUGUAUUUGGUAUUGUUACAACUUUACAUUUGGAACAUCAAAUAAAAACGAUUUCAAAAAACGAACCAACGCUGAUGCAGCUGCUUAGCAGAGGGAAAACGACACGCAAGCAAAGCGGUACUCAUAAAUAACCUGCCAUCUUUGAAAAAUUAAACGGAAGCCUCCCAGUUGACCUUUGGCCUCUGGUCUUUCGUAAAGGUGGCUGGGCAGGAUGGCCAAUGGAGACAAAUCCACAAGCGCAAAAAUCAAUGCCGCUACUUAAAAAUCCUUAUGAAAUACAUCGGGACAGAGAAGCAAUGUAUAAUUAAUUGAUUAGCCCCAAGAGAUAGUUCAACGGAGCCCAGCACACAUGAGCAACAUCAAAUUUAAUUGAUGAAAGAUGUAGCAUGGAAAGUGUGUGUGGGACUUUUUACUGGGUGGGUUGGACACCCAGUAACACUCUGCCUUCUUGUUGAUAACCAUCCUACAAGCCAACUGUUAGAUUUUCAUUUUUUUAAAAAAAUGAAAUUAAAAAAUGCUACUUAUGUAGGCCAGCAAUUUCCACUUUAGACCAGGCCAAUGAGCAGCCAAAGAACAGAAAUAAGAAGACUCCUAUGGGAUGCACUAUUCCACAGCUGGAGCCAAGUGUGGAGAAUGAUUCAUGGUUUUGAGCCUUGACUUCUCACUGGAUUGGCUACGGAACAAUUAACCAUAAAACGAAAUCAUGCUUUUUCUUCCAGAACACGUUGAAGCAAAAGAACAUCUUCAACAGCUUGCCCUCACAGCGUACCACACAACUUGUGCAAUAAACAGCAACGUUGGUUUAAAAGGGCAAGUGCCGCACUGAG
rnacentral:lncRNA from 1 species